rnacentral:rRNA from 1 species
AUUGAACGCUGGCGGCAUGCUUUACACAUGCAAUUCGAACGGUAACAGGCCUUCGGGUGCUGACGAGUGGCGAACGGGUGAGUAAUGCAUCGGAACGUGCCCAGAGGUGGGGGAUAACGCAGCGAAAGCUGUGCUAAUACCGCAUGUGAUCUGAGGAUGAAAGCGGGGGACCAAGCAGCAAUGUUUGGCCUCGCGCCUCUGGAGCGGCCGAUGUCAGAUUAGGUAGUUGGUGGGGUAAAGGCCUACCAAGCCGACGAUCUGUAGCUGGUCUGAGAGGACGACCAGCCACACUGGGACUGAGACACGGCCCAGACUCCUACGGGAGGCAGCAGUGGGGAAUUUUGGACAAUGGGCGCAAGCCUGAUCCAGCAAUGCCGCGUGCGGGAAGAAGGCCUUCGGGUUGUAAACCGCUUUUGUACGGAACGAAAAGGCUCUGGCUAAUACCUGGGGCUGAUGACGGUACCGUAAGAAUAAGCACCGGCUAACUACGUG